UCUGCAGGACAGAAGUGGCAAUCGCUCCGCCCGUCGUCCGAUUUUCCUUGAUCCGUCCUGAUUUGUGAUCUGCUCCAGUCAAGGGUGUGAGAUAAGCUUCCUGGGAAUGCUGUUCUUGGGGAGAAUUUUGAGUCCUGGAUCCGGAUCUUCUGCUAAUUUGGAAUCCUGAUAUUUCAUCACUCCUGAAGCUCUGCACACUGUCUGCAGAGAAAGCUGCCUUCGUGAUUCUCUCUCCAACAUGCCUGCUCUUAUUAAGCUGGAAUGGAGACACAUUGGCUGGAGUUAAAGCAGCCAUAAUGAACCAUGAGAUAAACUUGGUACGAAAGUCAUGCAUGAUGGAGGAACAAAACAGAAGUUUCUCGGGUCCCAAAGAAUUCAUGAGCAGAAUAACCAUCUCAGCAUUGCACUGUCUACCUCCAGACUUUGCUGGAAAGAAAUAAAUUCCUCUCCUCUUCAAGUUGUUGCUAUUUUGAGUCUCUGUUACUUAUGACCAAACCAAAUCUUAACUGAGUUUAAAAGUAAAACAAUAUUAAGCAUACCAGGACAUAAGGAACUGAAAUGGACAAAUGGCACUGAAUAAAGGGUUGGGGGUGCUCAUUUCUUAAGUGAGGAGAAAGAAGAGUUGUUUGUCACUGUGCUUUCCUGAGGGGGCCUCCCUGAAGACAGGCACCAGGCUGGCACUCGGUCUAUGUUAUCUUGUGUAAUCCUCCGGCAUCAACCCUUUGAAUUUACAACUGUGGGAACAAAAAGUCAGAGAAGUUAAGUCUUUUUUCCUAAGGUCACACUGCCAGUGAGUGGGAGAAGUACAGUUCAAACCUGUGGAACUGCCCACAAAGCCUCUGUUCUCUCCACUACACCACCCCAUUUUCUCUCCUGGCUUGGGGGUUCUUAAUAUAUAUGAAUCCAAGAUAUUAAAACAUAAAGUUACGUAAUAUGAAAGUCAGUCAUCUUACCCAAGGAUACAACACAGAAGUUCUCUAAAUGCCAAGCUUUUCAAUCUAUUUAGAACCUAAUUCAAUUUUUCAAAUUAAUUUACAGCCAACUUUC